GCAAAAAUUAUUUCUUUUCAUAAGUUUCAUUUAACUGCAAGGAAACAUUUGCAGGUCUUUCUGCCACUCUCUUCACCCGCUUAUUUUUAUUGACCAAGAUCAAGUCACAAGCAUUUCCCUACAUGGAUCACUGGCCAAGGGAUGGGAUUGCCAUUAUCCUUAGACAGAGUCCCUGGGGGUGGGAGAUGGUUACAUUUUUUAAAAAUCGGUGUUCCACCAGUGAGUAAGAGCCAGGGAUGGACAGGGCGAUGGAUAGGCAACCUAUUACCAAAGAGCCAUCCUAAAGUGGGAUGAGAGUUGUCCUAGAAGGUUCCAGGCAUUUCUUUCAACAGUACAGUCAUCAAGUCUCCCAUUAAGUUUUGAGGCAAGCUCAGAAGGUGAUGAAGCUGGAGUAGGCACCAGAGCACCCAGAACAACCGGAAGGAACACACUUUUACAGCUAGUUCCUGAUUCCACACCACGGUGGGUGAUGGGUCCAGCUUCCCAUGCAGGCCUUGGGAACUCAGAACUAGGAGGAGAGCAAGGGAAAGAGGCUGCCAUAACAGAAAGCCGGGAAUGAACUUCCUCCAGGGGCCUGCAGGGCUGUCCUUGUAAAGGAUCCUGUCUUCGGUUUAAAGAACUCAGUGUGCCCACGUACAAUUACAUAUGCAACAUUUGUGAACAACAUAUUCUCAAACCCAAGUCCACGCAUCUGAGGUCAGCAAUGCCAGCUAACCCUCACACAGGGCCUCCCACCUGCCAGGCACUGCGCGAAGCUCUUCAACUGUAUCAGCUCAUUUAAUCCUUCAACAACUGUAUUACAAGUUCUAGCGACUGGAAGUCAAGGAUGAAGGCGCCAGCAGCACCUUGGGUUGAUGUCUGGUAAGACUUCUCCUCUUGGGUGGCAGACAGCUACCUUCUCGCUCUGUGCUCACAUGGCCUUUCCUCUGUGCUUGUGCAGAAAGAGAAAAUGAGCGAGCUCUCUGGUGUCUCUUCUUCUAAGGACAAUAAUCCGUUUGGAUCAGAGCCCCAGCCUUAGGACCUCAUUUAAUCGUAAUUACCUCCUUAGAGGCCCUGUGUCUAAAUAGAGCCACACUGGAGGUUAGGACUUCAACAUAUGCACUUUAGGGGGGACACAAACAUUCACUCUAUAACCAUGGGUAAUCCUGUUCUCUCUAUUUUUCAGAUUAGGAAACUGAGGUCCACACAGGUUGAGUAAUUUGCCCAAGGUCACAGAGCUAGCAAAUGGCAACUCCAGCAUCAAGUUCUCAACCACUAUGCUGUGCUAUUUCUCACCACCUAGCAUGAGUCUUAAUAUAACAUCUAACAACCAACAACCCUAACCCCUAGCAGAACUUUAAACCUAUCUUAUAAUUAUCAGAGCUUUGCCGUGCCCUUUCUUUUUUUAAGUUUCCCUACAGGGAAACAAUCCCUCACUAUUACUAUUCUUUUAUUAGAAAUAGUUUCUAUAUUAUCAGUUUUAGAGAAAUAACGUGUAGUUACUACAAUCUGGCUCUUAAAACGCUUAUAUAUCUUAGUUAAACAUCUAGUGAAAACUUCUUCUAAUUUUCUAUAUUUAUACCCUACUGGUUACAAAUAUAAUCAGUAGUAAUAUUUCAAAGUCUUGUGAAAGAUGACCUGAGUGGAGCCAUAUCAAAAUAGAGCCAGAGCAGCCAUUACAGAGGAGUUGCCUUGCACAUCUUGUUUUCUUUAUCUUCCAAACUGGUCCAAACUGCCAAUAUUCCGAGAAGUCAGUAAGGACAAGAAUAUCCUUUCUGUAAGAACCGAUGCAACUGGACUUUGCUGAUGAUCAAAUCGCUAACCAACCAAUGAAGGACAAGUCCAGCCUUUUCUCUGAUGACCGAAUCUCAAGGCAAUCUAUGAAGUACAACCUAACCUUGCCUCAUCUGGCACCAAUGAACUCUUCUUUAAUACGACUCACUUCACCCUCCCUUUUUCCAUAAAAAUCCUAAGCCCCUCUCCUGUAAUUGGGAUGCUAUUUGGGUUUCUACCUGAAUCUGUGCCUCAUGAAUUGCAGUUCUUUGAUCCCAAAUAAACACUUUGCCUCUUAAACUGGUUUCUGUUUUUGUAGGUUGAUAGGCUCUAUUACUUUUUAAGGAUUUAAAGCUUUUUAACCCAAAUUUCUAUUAAGAAAACUGGAGCAUCAUAAUUUUGUGAGACUACUCUUAGAAUUCUUACUGGUCAAUGAAGAAAUUAUUUUACACCAACUUACAGGCUUUGCCAUGUUCAAAUCAAAUGUGUACUGAGGGAAUCUGAUUACACGAUUGGCAGCAAUUCUAGGAUUUUUAAUGGAAUUGGGGUGGAGGGAGGAGGAGGGGGAGGGACAAUGCAUUGGACAAGAGCAAAGAUUCUGGAAUUUGGCUCUCCCGGUCUGAAUCCUGACUCUACGGUGUCCUUGAGCAAGUCACUCAACCUCUCUAAGUUUCAGUUUCCUCAUUAGUAAAAUGAAGCUAGGAGUAGAUUUUCCCUUAUGUGAAGAUUAAGUCAGAGAAUCCAUAACUGUAAAUUAAAUAGUGCCAGGCUCACUAAAAAGUCAAUUUGUUUCCUGCUUUAUUGAGAUGUAAUUGAUGUAUAGCAUUGUAUAAGUUUAAAGUGUACAACAUAAUGAUUUGAGAUAUAUAUACAUAUAUAUAUAAUGAAAUGGUUACCACAAGGUUAGUUAACAUAUCCAUCACCUCACAUGGUUACAAUUUUGCAUGUAUGUGAUAAGAACUUUCAAAAUCUACUCUCUUAGCAACUUUCAAAUAUACAAUACAGUAUUGUUAACUAUAGCCAGCCCUGGUGGUCUAGUGGCCAAGAUUCGGAGCUCUCACCGCCAUGGCCCAGUUCCUUUCCACCUGGGUUUGUUUACUGGUCCGGGAACCAUACCACCUGUCUAUCGGUUGUCGUACUGUGGCAGCUGUGUGUUGCUGCAAGCUAUGCCACCAAUAUUUCAAAUAUCAGCAGGGUCACCCACGGUGGACACUUGAGCUUGCAGACUAAGACCGACUAGGAAGAAGGACCUGGUCACUCACUUCUGAAAAAAUUGACCGUUAAAACCCUAUGAAUAGCAAUGGGGCAUCAUCUGAUAUAACACCGGAGGUGAGAGGAUGGUGCAGAAAGACUGGACAGGUUUCUGCUCCGCUGUCCACAGACUCGCUAGAGUCAGAAUUGACUCGACAGCACCAACAACCCAAUAUACUCUUAACUAUAGUCACCACGCUGUCGUUUCCUCCCCAGAACUUAUUUAUCU